AAGUGUGUGUGUGUGUGUGUGUGUGUGUGUGUGUGUGUGUGUGUGUGUGUGUGUUGUAUGCCAAGCAAGGUAUGAAGGUAGAGGUGAAAAGACCACUUGCAGGAGUAGCUUCUCUCCUUCCAUUGUGGGGGUUCUGGGUCUCCUCAGUCACCAGGCUUGGCAGCAAGCACUUUCCCUCCAUCCUGAUGCAGGGCAGCUGCUCCCCGAAUCUGCACACUGGGUGUCAGUGACUGACGGACCAAUAGUUCCUGACCCGUUACUCUGAUUACAACGAUCACUUAUUGGUAGCAAACAGUCGUGAGAGGAAGACUCGGGAAGCCUGUCAGUGAGCAACGAACGCACAGCCAUUUGCUGGAAAAUGGCAAGAGAAUUCCUUAGAAAGUAAAUUAUAGGGAUAAGGAGUGUGGGUCAGGAGUAAGACACUUGCCCCACAAGUGCAAAAACCUGGGUUCAGGUCUCCUGGAACCAUUUCAGGCCAGACGGGGUACCACUCCUACAGAGAGAUGGAGGGAGGGAUAGGUGAAGGUGCCUGGACAACAGCAAGGAACGAGAGACCCUGGACCCAGAAGCAGGUAAGGCUGCUUUCUCCCAAGCCCCACAUUCAUAUACGUAAACAUGCAUACACAAAUUAAAAAAAAUAUUUCUUAAACAUCAAGUGGAGACUGGGUUCAGUAGCAGAGUGUUUGCCUACUGUGCUCAAAGCCCUGAGUUCCAUGCCCAGUAUCAGGGGAAGAGAGAUAGAGGAGGGCCAGCAAGAUGGCUCAGUGGCUAAAGGCACCUACACACAGGCCAAACAACCUGAGUUUGAUCGCUGGGACUUACGUGGAGGAGAAUUGAUUCCUACAAGUUGUCUUCUGACCUACACACACACACACACACACACACACACACACACACACACGAAUAAAAACAAAAAUAAAUCUUGUUCUGCAUGUCAGGAGCUCUGAGAGAAUCUCCCAGCAGCUGACUGAAACAGAUGCAGAGACCCACAGCCAAACGAUGGCCAAAGGUCGGAGUCUUAUGAAAGAGUUGUGGGAAGAAGGAUUGAUAGCCCUAAAGGGGAUAAGAACUCCAGAGGAAAAUCGACAGACAACCAACCUGGACCCCUAGGAGCUCUCAGAGACUGAACCAUCAGCCAAAGAGCACACACGGGCUAGAAUGAGACCCAGCACGUAUGUAGCAGUUAUGCGGCUCAGUCUGCAUGGCUGCCUUUUCUGGCCUCAGUGGAAGGAAUGUGUCUAAUACUACAAAGACUUGACGUGUCAGGGUCAGGGGGUGGGGGAACACCCAGGGAGUGCCCUACUCCUCAGAGGAGAUGGGGAGAGGGGAGGAGGAGGGCAGCGUUUGGAAUGUUAAUUAAUUUCUUAAAAGGUAAAAUAAAUGGACAAAAAGCAGGCUGGAGGCGCGGGGUCGGGGUGGGUGUGAGAGUACAGCCCCGUGUGUAAACGUUGCCAGCAGCACCAUUCAAAGCAGCUAGCAGGUAAGUGACUAAACGAAGUUCGAUCCAUCUAUACAAUAGACCCUAAAAAGAGCACAAGAUUGAUCUGCACAAUGGUGUAGAUGAACCUGGAAGACAAGAGGCUGACUGAGGGAAACCAGACACCAAAGCGGCGUCUGGAAACCUCAAGUUCAUCUGAGAGAAAGCAGCUUAGCGGGAGCCAGGAGAUACAGCAGGGAGGAACCAGAGACCAAUUUGCCUCACAGCACAAGCUCUCUGUGGGAUGAUGAAAACGCUUUGAAACCAGAGAGAGUACGUUGUUCAAACUUGUGAACACACCCAAACAUCAUGGUUCACCUACAAACGCCGCAAUGUACACUGGGUCAGGUCUUCCUCAACACGGAAAGCCCUGUGUGGGGGCGUCCGGGGGAACCCUGGCUGUGGCAGGUGGCCACGCCCACGAUGAGGGGCAAGAGGGCAGGAAGCUGUGGGGCCCCAUUCCCCACUCCAGGCUGACUCGGCUCCAUUCUGUCCCUCUCAGUUCCAUCCUGCUGCUCUUAUGGAAGCAGCCAGGGCUACAGACCUGAACAGGAAGAAAGAGCCAAGAGGAAACCAGCCCUGUUUGCCAAGCACCUGAGCACAGGCUGCCUACUGGGCCACCGAAAUGCGCAUGUCACAGUCUUAAUGAAGGGACUGUCAUGGCCUCCAGCUGAGCAACACUGAUAGAACACGGAAGAUGUGGUGCCUUGCCGAGCUUCUCUGAGUCGUUCCCUACUCUUAAAUAAGAACGAACAACAGGACUGGGGGCAUGGCUCAGGGACAGAGCCCCUGACCAGAAUCCCCCAUCUGGGGACAUGCCCGAGGGGUAGAAUGUAUGAGACGUUGCCUCAUAUGUGUGGGAACCUGGAUUCCAAAGUCAGCACGUCACAGACAGACAGACAGACAGACAGACAGACAAGUGCCCAGAUCUGACUGGCCUGUACCUAUGUGUGUGAGGUCCUCUAAGACAAUGAUUCUCAACCUUCCUGAUGCCGUAACUCUUUAAUGCAGUGACCCCCCAACCAUAUGUCCGCUGCCACUCCAUAACUGAAAUGUUGCUACCGAAAAUCAUGGCGCAAUAAAUAUCCGUGUUUCCCAAUGGUCUCAUACAAUCCCUGUGAAGGGGUCAUUCUAUCUCUGAAGGGCUUGCAGCUCCCAGGUUGAGAACCACUGCUCUAGAUGGUAACGGGGAACAGGAGAAGGGUGUGACUAGAAUCCAGAGGAUGGCAGUUUCAAGGCCAGCGGAGUUACAGAAGACAAGGUCUUUCCAUGUUGCCCAGGAUGAAGCCCUGAGUUCAGAUGACUCUUCCCAGUCAGCUUCCUGAGAAACCGGGACCAGAGGUUUGUGUCACCAUGCAAACUAAUCUUUAUGUCUCGAAUGCAUCAUAGCCAUAGCCCUAGGCUGGAGCUCUCCAUUCUUGCUUAGCUCCCUAACUUUUUAAAGAGACCCUUGGUGUCUCAGACAUGGUUGCUCACAGCUGUAAUCUCAACACUCAUGAGGCUAAGGCAAGAGGAUUCAUUGUGAUCUUGAGGCUAGCCUGGGCUAAAUAUGAAUUCCAGGCCAAACUGAGCUGCAGAAUGAGAUCCUGUCUCAAAGCAAAAAUUAAGAACAAAACUGGAUAAGUCAGGCAUCCUCAGAUAUGUCUGUAAUCCCAGCACUUAAGAGACUGAUACAGGAAGGUCAUGAGUUUGAGGUUAGCCUGGCCUACAUGACAAGACUUUGUGUUAAAAAAAGAAAAAUGCAAGGAGAGAGUAUAAAUCCCAAGGUAGCAUCAUAGCGCUCCAAUAAUGAGAAAAGCCACAUAUGAUAGUGUACACCUUUGCUGCCUUUAAUCCCAGCACUUGGG
rnacentral:sRNA from 1 species